rnacentral:rRNA from 1 species
CGCACGGUGGAUGCCUUGACACUAGGAGUCGAUGAAGGACGGGACUAACGCCGAUAUGCUUCGGGGAGCUGUAAGUAAGCUUUGAUCCGAAGAUUUCCGAAUGGGGAAACCCACCAUACGUAAUGGUAUGGUAUCCUUAUCUGAAUACAUAGGGUAAGGAAGACAGACCCAGGGAACUGAAACAUCUAAGUACCUGGAGGAAGAGAAAGCAAAUGCGAUUUCCUGAGUAGCGGCGAGCGAAACGGAACAUAGCCCAAACCAAGAGGCUUGCCUCUUGGGGUUGUAGGACAUUCUAUACGGAGUUACAAAGGAACGAGGUAGACGAAGCGACCUGGAAAGGUCCGUCGUAGAGGGUAACAACCCCGUAGUCGAAACUUCGUUCUCUCUUGAAUGUAUCCUGAGUACGGCGGAACACGUGAAAUUCCGUCGGAAUCUGGGAGGACCAUCUCCCAAGGCUAAAUACUCCCUAGUGAUCGAUAGUGAACCAGUACCGUGAGGGAAAGGUGAAAAGCACCCCGGAAGGGGAGUGAAAGAGAUCCUGAAACCGUGUGCCUACAAAUAGUCAGAGCCCGUUAACGGGUGAUGGCGUGCCUUUUGUAGAAUGAACCGGCGAGUUACGAUCCCGUGCGAGGUUAAGCUGAAGAGGCGGAGCCGCAGCGAAAGCGAGUCUGAAUAGGGCGUUUAGUACGUGGUCGUAGACCCGAAACCAGGUGAUCUACCCAUGUCCAGGGUGAAGUUCAGGUAACACUGAAUGGAGGCCCGAACCCACGCACGUUGAAAAGUGCGGGGAUGAGGUGUGGGUAGCGGAGAAAUUCCAAUCGAACCUGGAGAUAGCUGGUUCUCCCCGAAAUAGCUUUAGGGCUAGCCUUAAGUGUAAGAGUCUUGGAGGUAGAGCACUGAUUGGACUAGGGGUCCUCAUCGGAUUACCGAAUUCAGUCAAACUCCGAAUGCCAAUGACUUAUCCUUAGGAGUCAGACUGCGAGUGAUAAGAUCCGUAGUCAAAAGGGAAACAGCCCAGACCGCCAGCUAAGGUCCCAAAGUGUGUAUUAAGUGGAAAAGGAUGUGGAGUUGCUUAGACAACUAGGAUGUUGGCUUAGAAGCAGCCACCAUUUAAAGAGUGCGUAAUAGCUCACUAGUCGAGUGACUCUGCGCCGAAAAUGUACCGGGGCUAAAUACACCACCGAAGCUGCGGAUUGAUACCAAUGGUAUCAGUGGUAGGGGAGCGUUCUAAGGACAGUGAAGUCAGACCGGAAGGACUGGUGGAGUGCUUAGAAGUGAGAAUGCCGGUAUGAGUAGCGAAAGACGGGUGAGAAUCCCGUCCACCGAAUGCCUAAGGUUUCCUGAGGAAGGCUCGUCCGCUCAGGGUUAGUCAGGACCUAAGCCGAGGCCGACAGGCGUAGGCGAUGGACAACAGGUUGAUAUUCCUGUACCACCUCUUUAUCGUUUGAGCAAUGGAGGGACGCAGAAGGAUAGAAGAAGCGUGCGAUUGGUUGUGCACGUCCAAGCAGUUAGGCUGAUAAGUAGGCAAAUCCGCUUAUCGUGAAGGCUGAGCUGUGAUGGGGAAGCUCCUUAUGGAGCGAAGUCUUUGAUUCCCCGCUGCCAAGAAAAGCUUCUAGCGAGAUAAAAGGUGCCUGUACCGCAAACCGACACAGGUAGGCGAGGAGAGAAUCCUAAGGUGUGCGAGAGAACUCUGGUUAAGGAACUCGGCAAAAUGACCCCGUAACUUCGGGAGAAGGGGUGCUUUCUUAACGGAAAGCCGCAGUGAAUAGGCCCAAGCGACUGUUUAGCAAAAACACAGCUCUCUGCGAAGCCGUAAGGCGAAGUAUAGGGGGUGACACCUGCCCGGUGCUGGAAGGUUAAGGAGAGGGGUUAGCGUAAGCGAAGCUCUGAACUGAAGCCCCAGUAAACGGCGGCCGUAACUAUAACGGUCCUAAGGUAGCGAAAUUCCUUGUCGGGUAAGUUCCGACCCGCACGAAAGGUGUAACGAUUUGGGCACUGUCUCAACCAGAGACUCGGUGAAAUUAUAGUACCUGUGAAGAUGCAGGUUACCCGCGACAGGACGGAAAGACCCCGUGGAGCUUUACUGUAGCCUGAUAUUGAAUUUUGGUACAGUUUGUACAGGAUAGGCGGGAGCCUUUGAAACCGGAGCGCUAGCUUCGGUGGAGGCGCUGGUGGGAUACCGCCCUGACUGUAUUGAAAUUCUAACCUACGGGUCUUAUCGACCCGGGAGACAGUGUCAGGUGGGCAGUUUGACUGGGGCGGUCGCCUCCUAAAGUGUAACGGAGGCGCCCAAAGGUUCCCUCAGAAUGGUUGGAAAUCAUUCGUAGAGUGCAAAGGCAUAAGGGAGCUUGACUGCGAGACCUACAAGUCGAGCA